ACAGGUUGCUAACAGGAAUAUCAAUUUGGAUUUUUGCUAUUACCACACACCAUCUAGAGAGUUUGUCUCUAGUGGGAGGAAAAAUGUAUUUAUGGAUUCAAGCAAGUAUUGAGGAGUAGGUACAUCUAUUUUUGAUGAGAUAAUCAAAAUGUUUGACUUUAUCAAAAAUAGAUAAACCAUGUGUGCGUGCAAGAAGAUAAGUAGAAGUUCCACUAACUUCUUGGUUAUGUAUGUGGGUG
rnacentral:lncRNA from 1 species